GACCUCACUUUGGAAACACUGACAGAGAGCUUUCAGAGAUGCAGUGACUCUGCCAGAUGCUUCAGUGUCUCCCAGGAGGCAGGUUUUGCAGUGCAUGGAGAGGAACCAGCUGGCAGAGAAAGGUUCAAGCUCAAGCAGCAAUCAGAUCAUGUAGAAUGACCACAGCCAAAUGCACAAGCCCAUUUGAGAAGCAAGGGAAUGUCUUGUGUGAUCCCAGAAUCCCAGGUCCCGGGAAGACAGAAAUGUUGCUGAGACCCCGUGGCAGCUUGGGUUCAAGCAAGACAAAGCUGCAGCCAACAGGGCUGCCAUCUUCUCACUCUCUAAAGGAAUGUGAGAGGGUGACCACCCUACAACCCAGGGAAAUGGGUUCUUGUUCUAGCCUGGUGUUGGAGAAUCACUCUCUGCAUCUGGCCUGACACCAGCCAUCCACCUCCAGCAGCAAGGGAACCAGGAAAUCUCAUGGCCAGCCUGGCCAGCAAGCGAGUGGAAUAUGCAAAGGAGAUGACUCACAGCAGACCAGCACGGUCGGCCAUGAAGCAGAGGCCAAAUUGCCAUCUGUUUCAUCAAGUUCGUUGGUGGUUGCCGUAUUUAUGUCUGUGAUUUAUGUCUAGGUGUCACCAUGAGCCUUGGCAGAUUUGGGAGACUAUUAAAUGUAUGAUUUGUCGAUAGC
rnacentral:lncRNA from 1 species